rnacentral:rRNA from 1 species
AAUAUUGGACAAUGGGCUAAAGCCUGAUCCAGCCAUGCCGCGUGUGUGAAGAAGGUCUUCGGAUUGUAAAGCACUUUAAGGUGGGAGGAAGGGCAGUAAGUUAAUACCUUGCUGUUUUGACGUUACCGACAGAAUAAGCACCGGCUAACUUCCUGCCAGCCGCCGCGGUAAUACGAAGGGUGCAAGCGUUAAUCGGAAUUACUGGGCGUAAAGCGCGCGUAGGUGGUUUGUUAAGUUGGAAGUGAAAGCCCCGGGCUCAACCUGGGAACUGCUUUCAAAACUGGCAAGCUAGAGUACGGUAGAGAGUAGUGGAAUUUCCUGUGUAGCGGUGAAAUGCGUAGAUAUAGGAAGGAACAUCAGUGGCGAAGGCGACUACCUGGACUGUAACUGACGCUGAGGCACGAAAGCGUGGGGAGCAAACAGG